AGAAACCACACAUCGCACUUCCGAAAUUGCUAAGUCCAGAAAGUUAGUGUAAUGAAACAUAUCUGUCAAUGAUUUAUUCAUGAUAUGCAAAUAUAUUCAUAGACUUUGGUCAUGUGAGUCGGUGGUUCAGUAUAAAAGUCUCUGUAAUAUUUUACGAGCUCACAAACACAUUGGAAAGCUGUUUAGACGUGCAUCUGGCAAGCAUAACUUUUAGAAGCAUUAUUUGGAUAAUCAUCACCAUGGCAGAAAGGACUGACAAAACCAGCGAUGAAACUGCGUCAGCUGAGAACACGAAAAAUGAAGAGGCUGAACUACUGGAAGAAAAAUUGAAAUUAAUCCUGGCUGAUGUUGAAGUCUGGAAUGAAAAAUUCAAUGAGUUCACUAUCUCCAUGCCUGUGCGAGACAAUCUUCUCCUGCUAGAUAUGUUGAAUGAGAUGAAGAUGACCUUAAACAAUAUGUGUACAUUAGUGAAG